GAAGAACCUUACCUCCCCUUGACAUGUAAAGAAUUUUCCAGAGAUGGGUGAGUGCUCUAAAGAGAUCUUAAACACAGGUGGCACAUGGGUGUUCUCAUCUUGUGUUGUGAGAUGUUGGUUUAAGUCCCGCAAAGAGCGCACCCCUUCCCUUUAUUUCCCAUCAUUAAGUUGGGCACUUUAAUGAGACUGCCGGUGACAAACCGGAGGAAGGUGGGGAUGACGUCAAGUCCUCAUGGCCCUUAUGGGUAGGGCUUCACACGUAAUACAAUGGUCGGUACAGAGGGUUGCCAACCCGCGAGGGGGAGCCAAUCCCAGAAAGCCGAUAGGGUCCGGAUUGCAGUCUGCAACUCGACUCCAUGAAGUCGGAAUCGGUAGUA
rnacentral:rRNA from 1 species